GCGUCGGUAGUGCAACUGGUUAGCAUGAGACCUCGGAGGAGGUGAAUCGCACUGGUUCGAUUCCCGUCUGAGGUU